AGUGAACGCUGGCGGUAGGCCUAACACAUGCAAGUCGAACGGCAGCACAGUAAGAGCUUGCUCUUACGGGUGGCGAGUGGCGGACGGGUGAGGAAUACAUCGGAAUCUACUUUUUCGUGGGGGAUAACGUAGGGAAACUUACGCUAAUACCGCAUACGACCUACGGGUGAAAGCAGGGGAUCUUCGGACCUUGCGCGAUUGAAUGAGCCGAUGUCGGAUUAGCUAGUUGGCGGGGUAAAGGCCCACCAAGGCGAGGAUCCGUAGCUGGUCUGAGAGGAUGAUCGGCCACCCUGGAACUGAGACACGGUCCAGACUCCUGCGGGAGGCAGCAGUGGGGAAUAUUGGACAAUGGGCGCAAGCCUGAUCCAGCCAUACCGCGUCGGUGAAGGAGGCCUUCGGGUUGUAAAGCCCUUUUGUUGGGAAAGAAAAGCAUCAGGUUAAUACCCCGCUGUUCUGACGGUACCCAAAGAAUAAGCACCGGCUAACUUCGUG
rnacentral:rRNA from 1 species